AGGCUCGGGUUCGAUUCCCGGUAUCGGAAC
rnacentral:sRNA from 1 species